rnacentral:rRNA from 1 species
AUUGAAUGCUGGCGGCAGGCCUAACACAUGCAAGUCGAGCGGAUGAAGGGAGCUUGCUCCUGGAUUCAGCGGCGGACGGGUGAGUAACGCCUAGGAAUCUGCCUGGUAGUGGGGGAUAACGUCCGGAAACGGGCGCUAAUACCGCAUACGUCCUGAGGGAGAAAGUGGGGGUUCUUCGGACCACCCGCUACCAGAUGAGCCUAGGCCGGAUUAGCUAGUUGGUGGGCUAAAGGCCUACCAAGCCGAUGAUCCGUAACUGGUAUAAGAAGAUGAUCAGUCAGACUGGAACUAAAACACGGUCCACGCUACUACGGCAGGCAGCAGUGGGCGAUAUUUAACAAUCAGCGAACGCCUGAUCCAGCCAUGCCGCGUAUUGUAAGAAGAUCUUCGGGUUGUAGAAGACUUUGGUUUCGGAGGAACAGCAGUAAGAUAAUACCUUGCUGUAUUGACGUUACCUACAGAAUAAGCACAGACUAACUUCGUG